rnacentral:rRNA from 1 species
CUACGGGAGGCAGCAGUGAGGAAUAUUGGUCAAUGGGCGGGAGCCUGAACCAGCCAAGUCGCGUGAGGGAAGACGGUCCUACGGAUUGUAAACCUCUUUUGUCGGGGAGUAACGGUCUCCACGUGUGGGGAUAUGAGAGUACCCGAAGAAAAAGCAUCGGCUAACUCCGUGCCAGCAGCCGCGGUAAUACGGAGGAUGCGAGCGUUAUCCGGAUUUAUUGGGUUUAAAGGGUGCGCAGGCGGGACAACAAGUCAGCGGUAAAAAUGCGGUGCUCAACGCCGUAUCGCCGUUGAAACUGUUGACCUGGAGUGCGUCGGGAGCAUGCGGAAUGCGCAGUGUAGCGGUGAAAUGCAUAGAUAUUGCGCAGAACUCCGAUCGCGAAGGCAGCAUACUACGACGUAACUGACGCUCAGGCACGAAAGCGUGGGGAUCGAACAGGAUUAGAUACCCGGGUAGUC